rnacentral:misc_RNA from 1 species
AGAGGUAGAGCACGUGCGUACGCCUGACCGCAGACGCGACGUUUGCACACCUGAUGAAGCACAUGCAGGCUGCUGGGAGUUCUUCCUUACGUAACCCUCGAGUAUGCCACACGAGCCUCAUAUAUCGACACCUGUAGCUACGCGAGAAACGAUCGACGUUGGCAUCCUCGACAUUGCGACAUUUCAAACUUCGAGAGUCCUAUUAACAAAGCGUCUACAGUGCACGGUAUACGGAGUUGCGUGUAGGACAGGACAACGUCCGUGAAAUAUGGUAAUUCGUGUUCGUUGAGAGGGAAGCACGGCUGCGUGAAAAACGAAAAGAAUGCGAGGCGUACGCUCGGGGCACGGAUCGUCGAUCGAGGAACAGUUAUACUAUAUCCGGCCAGUCCGAGGAAGUGUGGCGAAUUUCUCG